AUUGAACGCUGGCGGAAUGCUUUACACAUGCAAGUCGAACGGUAGAGGGGGCAACCCCUCGAGAGUGGCGAACGGGUGAGUAAUAUAUCGGAACGUGCCCAGUCGUGGGGGAUAACGUAGCGAAAGUUACGCUAAUACCGCAUACGAUCUAAGGAUGAAAGCGGGGGAUCGCAAGACCUCGCGCGAUUGGAGCGGCCGAUAUCGGAUUAGGUAGCUGGUGGGGUAAAGGCUCACCAAGCCGACGAUCUGUAGCUGGUCUGAGAGGACGACAGCCCCACUGGAAGUGAGACACGGGCCAGACUCCUACGGGAGGCAGCAGUGGGGAAUUUUGGACAAUGGACGGAAGUCGGAUCCAGCCAUUCCGCGUGCAGGAUGAGGGCCCUCGGGUUGUAAACUGCUUUUGUACGGAACGAAAAGGUCUCUCUUAAUACGGGGGACUCAUGACGGUACCGUAAGAAUAAGCACCGGCUAACUACGUGCCAGCCGCCGCGGUAAGAC
rnacentral:rRNA from 1 species